rnacentral:lncRNA from 1 species
GUUAGUCUUAAGGCCAGCUCAGAUCUUUUCUUUCUGUGAGAUUUUCUAUGCAGGGCUGCUGCAGCUUGCAGAAGGGCCGUGCAACAUCUCUCUAAUUACCAUGGAAACACAGAGCAAAACAGUUGCCAGGUUGGUUUGGGUGUGCAGGAACAGGGAGGAAAAAUACAAAAAUGAAGGUGGAAACAGUUCUGCCUGAGCAAUGUCCUUGAGGAAGACCUAGAAUCUUUUCCUUGAUUCCUGUGAUUUCUUCACCUCUCAUUGGGAGAAAAUGUGGAGGCCAUGCAGAUGUUGUGGAUGGAGGAAGAGUAUCCUGAGCAUUGCUGCUUGACCUCAGCUUGGUCACGGACCAGAAGUUGAACAAAACAUCCCCAGAUGGGUGUAGGCAUCACUCCAUGCUGUACCUAUAGAUCCCAAUGAACACUUCUCAUGCAGAGGAGCCAUCACGAGCACGUGAGCUAUGAGACAUCCUUCAAGAGCCCAGAGGACCUGGCUCCACGUGGGGUGAUCAAGGACUAUUACGUUCACAUACAAAGCAAAUCUCCACAGAAAGGCAGCUGGGCCUUGGUGGAGGAGAAAAGUGUUUGGAGUUUGCAGGGACUCGCACGAAGUUAACAGAG